rnacentral:tRNA from 1 species
GAUUAUGAAGCAUUGCAAUUCAUUGUUACUGAAUAGAAGAUU